CAAAGUUAUUGUGAGGUUUUGAUCACAGUCUUCAUAAUGCAGUAAGAAAGGCUUACCUGUAUCAUAAAUUGUGCAGCCUUGCAGCAACAUAUACAUUAAAAAGACUCAGAGCUACCAGAGUAUCUACCCCAGUCUCUCAAUUUAUUAUCUAUUUUAUCAGAUAUAUUUGGAAGUAUACUUCUCCAAGUUUUAUUUUCCCCCACUCAUUUCUAUGGGAUAUUACACUACAAUGCAAAAUAGCUCAGCCUUCUACAAAGAAGGAAACUUUUACUGUUGUACUUAAUAUGAUUAUGAAUGAAACAUUUAUAAGUCAAAAAAAAAGCACCACAAAUAACAUGUCUUUAUAUUCUAACAUCUGGUUCUAAUGCACACUGUUUGUCUUUUUUUUUUUUCAUGAAAUAUAAUCUUAUAUUUACUUUCUUCAUAUUUUUGUACUUUUUUUUUACAAGGGCAUUUUUUAACACUUCCUCUUUACAUUUGUGUCCAGCAUGUUCCCCCACUCUGUAUUGAAAGCAUAAAGUCAAUUCCAAAAGUCAGUAUGCCACUCCUUAAGCAGUCAGCUCCUCAGUGGGAGUUCCCUUCUUCUUCAAAAUGCCUCAUUUUGCUGACUUGCAGAACUGCAUGACUACGACUAAAUGUCUCCCAGAGCAGAAGCUUCCCCAGUUUACAGUAAAUGAGUUUAGAUCACUGCAGAAAAUUCACAGACAAAGGUCUACCAUACCUGGACUCUUGAAAAGGCUGUCACAAGAUCAUCUGUUUGGAAAUUCCAGGUUGCAUUCAGUGGUAAAGCAACUAUAUUAUAUGGGAACAGCAUUCUGCUACUGA
rnacentral:lncRNA from 1 species